rnacentral:rRNA from 1 species
GACGUAGGGCGCGAGCGUUGUCCGGAUUUAUUGGGCGUAAAGAGCUCGUAGGCGGCUGGUCGCGUCGACUGUGAAAACCCGAGGCUCAACUGCAGGCUGGCGGUCGAUACGGGCAGGCUGGAGUUCGGUAGGGGAGACUGGAAUUCCUGGUGUAGCGGUGAAAUGCGUAGAGAUCCGGAGGAACACCAGUGGCGAAGGCGACACGCUGGGCCGUACCUGACACUGAUGCGCGACAGCAUGGGGAGCAAACAGG